rnacentral:rRNA from 1 species
AAUGGGGGCAACCCUGAUCUAGCCAUGCCGCGUGAGUGAUGAAGGCCUUAGGGUCGUAAAGCUCUUUCGCCUGUGAUGAUAAUGACAGUAGCAGGUAAAGAAACCCCGGCUAACUCCGUGCCAGCAGCCGCGGUAAUACGGAGGGGGUUAGCGUUGUUCGGAAUUACUGGGCGUAAAGCGCGCGUAGGCGGAUUAGAAAGUUGGGGGUGAAAUCCCGGGGCUCAACCCCGGAACUGCCUCCAAAACUGCUAGCCUAGAGUUCGAGAGAGGUGAGUGGAAUUCCGAGUGUAGAGGUGAAAUUCGUAGAUAUUCGGAGGAACACCAGUGGCGAAGGCGGCUCACUGGCUCGAUACUGACGCUGAGGUGCGAAAGUGUGGGGAGCAAACAGGAUU